rnacentral:rRNA from 1 species
UACGAAGGGGGCUAGCGUUGUUCGGAAUCACUGGGCGUAAAGGGCGCGUAGGCGGUUUGGUAAGUUAGGAGUGAAAUGCCGGGGCUCAACCUCGGAACUGCUCUUAAAACUGCCAGACUAGAGUAUGGGAGAGGAUAGUGGAAUUCCUAGUGUAGAGGUGAAAUUCGUAGAUAUUAGGAGGAACACCGGUGGCGAAGGCGGCUAUCUGGACCAUUACUGACGCUGAGGCGCGAAAGCGUGGGGAGCAAACAGGG